UGACACGAGGAUUUUCAGUCCUNUGCUCUACCAGCUGAG
rnacentral:tRNA from 1 species